UUAGUGGGGGACAACAUUCCGAAAGGAAUGCUAAUACCGCAUACGUCCUACGGGAGAAAGCAGGGGACCUUCGGGCCUUGCGCUAAUAGAUGAGCCUAAGUCGGAUUAGCUAGUUGGUGGGGUAAAGGCCUACCAAGGCGACGAUCUGUAGCGGGUCUGAGAGGAUGAUCCGCCACACUGGGACUGAGACACGGCCCAGACUCCUACGGGAGGCAGCAGUGGGGAAUAUUGGACAAUGGGGGGAACCCUGAUCCAGCCAUGCCGCGUGUGUGAAGAAGGCCUUAUGGUUGUAAAGCACUUUAAGCGAGGAGGAGGCUACUAGUAUUAAUACUACUGGAUAGUGGACGUUACUCGCAGAAUAAGCACCGGCUAACUCUGUGCCAGCAGCCGCGGUAAUACAGAGGGUGCGAGCGUUAAUCGGAUUUACUGGGCGUAAAGCGUGCGUAGGCGGCCAUUUAAGUCAAAUGUGAAAUCCCCGAGCUUAACUUGGGAAUUGCAUUCGAUACUGGAUGGCUAGAGUAUGGGAGAGGAUGGUAGAAUUCCAGGUGUAGCGGUGAAAUGCGUAGAGAUCUGGAGGAAUACCGAUGGCGAAGGCAGCCAUCUGGCCUAAUACUGACGCUGAGGUACGAAAGCAUGGGGAGCAAACAGGAUUAGAUACCCUGGUAGUCCAUGCCGUAAACGAUGUCUACUAGCCGUUGGG
rnacentral:rRNA from 1 species